rnacentral:rRNA from 1 species
UGGGGAAUAUUGGACAAUGGGCGCAAGCCUGAUCCAGCCAUGCCGCGUGAGUGAUGAAGGCCCUAGGGUUGUAAAGCUCUUUCGGCGGGGACGAUAAUGACGGUACCCGCAGAAGAAGCCCCGGCUAACUUCGUGCCAGCAGCCGCGGUAAUACGAAGGGGGCUAGCGUUGUUCGGAAUCACUGGGCGUAAAGCGCACGUAGGCGGAUUGUUAAGUCAGGGGUGAAAUCCCGAGGCUCAACCUCGGAACUGCCUUUGAUACUGGCAAUCUUGGAGUCCGGGAGAGGUGAGUGGAAUUCCGAGUGUAGAGGUGAAAUUCGUAGAUAUUCGGAAGAACACCAGUGGCGAAGGCGGCUCACUGGCCCGGUACUGACGCUGAGGUGCGAAAGCGUGGGGAGCAAACAGGAUUAGAUACCCCCGUAGUCC